UAUGCCUUAGUUUAUGAUGAGCAGGGAUUUUUGGUAUCCCAGGAGAUAGUUUAAUUCUAUCAGGCAUAG
rnacentral:tRNA from 1 species